rnacentral:piRNA from 1 species
UCAGGAUGAAGUGUAAACUCCUCCAUGG